CGUUACUGCUGGUGCUGUUCCUUUCUCUUCCGCUAGAGGGUACAACACACACUCUACCCGCUAAACGCAGAACAGCACACACUUCCUGUGCUCGCUCGGGUUGUUGAUAAACAGCGAGCACAUGCUGAGCACAAUUUUUGUCGUUUUGUCUCAUAACAAAAUGACAACAACUUUGAUUUAAAUACUAAUUUAGUUGCUUGACAUUUUGCAGUUGCCAUGUCUCUGCUAUUAAACGCUGCACAAUGAAAUACUUCACUACUCAGGGCAUUGAUGGAUUUUAUAACAGAGUUUACCACAGCCAUGUCAUGUGUGAUUUUGUCUGUCUCAUCAUUGCAUGCUGCUUAUCGGCUAUUCAAGGACCACAGAGCCUCAUCAGUGGGCUUCCUCCUGAUUGGCUUUUCCUCUGUCCUUUCAGUCUUUUCUCCCAGUAACCAAACUAUCAAAUCACUCAUGAACGAUCUAGAAUGGGCAGGUGAAUCACUUGGUCCUGCUCUUAUUACUUUUGACUUCUUGUGGCUAAGUGAGGACCACAUCAC